rnacentral:rRNA from 1 species
CCUACGGGAGGCAGCAGUGGGGGAUAUUGCACAAUGGGGGGAACCCUGAUGCAGCGACGCCGCGUGGGUGAAGAAGCGCCUCGGCGCGUAAAGCCCUGUCAGCAGGGAAGAAAAUGACGGUACCUGAAGAAGAAGCACCGGCUAACUACGUGCCAGCAGCCGCGGUAAUACGUAGGGGGCAAGCGUUAUCCGGAUUGACUGGGUGUAAAGGGGGCGCAGACGGCGAUGCAAGCCAGGAGUGAAAGCCCGGGGCCCAACCCCGGGACUGCUCUUGGAACUGCGUGGCUAGAGUGCAGGAGGGGCAGGCGGAAUUCCUGGUGUAGCGGUGAAAUGCGUAGAUAUCAGGAGGAACACCGGUGGCGAAGGCGACCUGCUGGACUGCAACUGACGUUGAGGCCCGAAAGCGUGGGGAGCAAACAGGAUUAGAUACCCUAGUAGUC